UGUUUUUCGUUUAUUAAUUUUUUUAUUAUUUAGUUUUUUAAAGAGCUGUACAAACAGCAGAUGUGUUGAAGGAGAAAGGAUUUUGGAAUCAGAGACCAACUCUCAGUCCUGCCUCGGAGAUCUCCUUGCUGUGUGAACUUGGUCCUGCCUCUCUGCACCUUGGUUUCUUACCUUAUCUGAGGGAAGACCGUGUGAGGACACAGUGGGAAGACGGCCACCUGCAAGCCAAGGAGAGAGGCCUCAGAAGGAAGCGGCCAUGCAGACACCUUCAUCUUGGAAGUCCAGUCUCCAGACCUGUGAGAAAAACAGCUUCUGUUGUGUAAGCCCCCAGUCUGUGGUAUUUUGACAUGGCGGCCUAGCAGACUGAUAUAGAUAGCGUUUAGUGCCGCCUGUUAAGGAAUACCUACUGAGUGUCAGGGACUGAACGAAC
rnacentral:lncRNA from 1 species